GGGUCAGUAGGUUGGUCGUGCCACCGGUACGUACUGGUCUCACUGAUUCCUCCUUCCUGAAGAACCGUAAUGCCAUUAAUUUGGUGUUGCGGGGAAACAGGACUGUUACUUUGAAAAAAUUAGAGUGUUUAAAGCAAGCUAACGCUUGAAUACAUUAGCAUGGAAUAAUGAAAUAGGACGACCGAUCCUAUUUUGUUGGUUCCUAGGAUUGACGUA
rnacentral:rRNA from 1 species